AGUUUCUGCUAGAAAAGUGGGCAUGGCCAAACGUCAAAGGUCGUAUAAAGGUCAUAAUUAAAAAAAUCUUAAAAACGAUUUGGAUAUGUAUUUGC